GGUUGGUCCAAGUAUAGUGGUGUUUAUGACUAAUUGAUCACAAUCAGUUACAGAUUCCUUUGUUCCUUCUCCACUCCCACUGCUCCUCUUGAUCAGCCUUAA
rnacentral:Y_RNA from 1 species